rnacentral:rRNA from 1 species
AGCGAACGCUGGCGGCAGGCUUAACACAUGCAAGUCGAGCGGGCACUUCGGUGUCAGCGGCAGACGGGUGAGUAACACGUGGGAACGUACCCUUUGGUUCGGAAUAACGCUGGGAAACUAGCGCUAAUACCGGAUACGCCCUUUUGGGGAAAGGCUUGCUGCCGAAGGAUCGGCCCGCGUCUGAUUAGCUAGUUGGUGGGGUAAUGGCCUACCAAGGCGACGAUCAGUAGCUGGUCUGAGAGGAUGAUCAGCCACACUGGGACUGAGACACGGCCCAGACUCCUACGGGAGGCCGCAGUGGGGAAUAUUGGACAAUGGGCGCAAGCCUGAUCCAGCCAUGCCGCGUGAGUGAUGAAGGCCUUAGGGUUGUAAAGCUCUUUUGUCCGGGACGAUAAUGACGGUACCGGAAGAAUAAGCCCCGGCUAACUUCGUG